rnacentral:sRNA from 1 species
GCUGGGCACAGUGGUGUACACCUGUAAUCCCAGCAACUCUGGAGGCUGAGGCAGGAGGAUCAAAAGUUCAAAGCCAGCCUCAGCAACUUAGUGAGAUCCUGUCUCAA